rnacentral:rRNA from 1 species
CCCUUAGAUGUUCUGGGCUGCACGCGCGCUACACUGAUGCAUCCAACAAGUUUUUUCCUUGUUCGAGAGGACUAGGUAAUCUUAUGAGAAUGCAUCGUGAUGGGGAUAGAUUAUUGCAAUUAUUAAUCUUCAACGAGGAAUUCCUAGUAAGCGCGAGUCAUCAGCUCGUGCUGAUUACGUCCCUGCCCUUUGUACACACCGCCCGUCGCUGCAACUGAUUGGGUGACCUGGUGAGCAUCUUGGACCGGCCCACUCAAUUUCGAGAGGACUGGAAAAGGCCGUAAAUCAGGUACAUCUAGAAAUUGCAAAAGUCGUAACA